GACGAACGCUGGCGGCGUGCUUAACACAUGCAAGUCGAACGGUGAAGCGCCUUCCUUUUUGGUGGGUGUGGAUGAGUGGCGAACGGGUGAGUAACACGUGAGUAACCUGCCCCCUUCUUCUGGAUAACCGCAUGAAAGUGUGGCUAAUACGGGAUAUUCUGGGUCUGUCGCAUGAUGGGUCUGGGAAAGAUAUUGUUUCGGUGGGGGAUGGGCUCGCGGCCUAUCAGCUUGUUGGUGGGGUGAUGGCCUACCAAGGCGGUGACGGGUAGCCGGCCUGAGAGGGUGGACGGUCACACUGGGCAUGUAACACGGACCAGACUCCUACGGGAGCCAGCGGUGGGGAAUAUUGCAUAAUGGGCGCAAGUCUGAUGCACCGACCCCGCGUGAGGGAUGGGCGCCUUCGGGUUGUGAACCUCUUUCGCCAGUGAAGCAGGCCUGCCUCGUUUGUGGGUGGGUUGACGGUAGCUGGAUAAGAAGCGCCGGCUAACUACGUG
rnacentral:rRNA from 1 species